AAGCUUCUGCACCGUCCACGGCAUUUGUAAUUUGAGCUGCAAACUACUGGUCCUCAUGUCACUCUAGCCAACCUCACGCGUCAGCUGCACCAAAAUGCUACAUUAACCAACCCACUGCGGAGCGCUUGCGGGAGCCCCAGACAACGUUUUACUAACUGUUUAAACUUGUCGCUUGAGAACCUGGGCAACGAGACAGGAGCAGCAGCAGUGUAGAUGUAUCCAAAGUCUGCAGCAGGUCACAGAGCUCAACUCUGCACAAGCCUUUACGGAGCCUGCUCGUCUUCUCCCUUCCCUGGCUGCAGAAAACUACUUGGGGUAUUUUUUCCUCUCAGACUUUUGCAUGCAUCAUUGUCAGAAGAUCAGUAUCACUAGCACUUCAUGACCGUCUCAGAAGACAAUGCUACUAUAUAUGACUUCUAAGCUCAAAUGAGGAACCUUUUUCUGGAGAAAGUUGCACGGAAUACUUAAUAGCAGACACUCAAGUAACUAGAGAAUCAGGGAUGGCUUCUGUAGCUGCAAAGUACACUCUGCAGCAUAGCGUCAUAGUAGUAAAAUGUUAAACAAUACCGCUUCCACCACAUGGCCUUGUACAGCUCAGAUUUAGACAAGGAUUAGAACUAUUUGUACUGGAGAGAUGCCUCCCAGAGAAGUCAAACGAGAAUCUGGUGCUUAUUAGUCAAAGCAAAUUUGACUUCUCACUUAACAGUCACUGCAAUAAGCAGCAGGUGGUUUAAGACAGUAGUUCUCAACCUGGGGUAAGCAUACCCCUGGGGGUACGCACAGGUCUUCCAUGGGGUACAUCAACAUAUCUAGAUAUUUGCCUAGUUUUACAACAGGCUACAUAAAAAGCACUAGUGACAUCAAUACAAAUGAACAUUUCAUACAAUGACUUGUUUAUUCUGCUCUAUAUACUAUACACUGAAAUACAAGUAAAAUAUUUAUAUUCCAAUUCAUUUAUUUUAUAAUUAUGUGGUAAAAAUGAGAAAGCAAGCAAUUUUUCAGUAACAUGUAUUUUUAUGUCUGAUUUUGUAAGCAAGUAGUUUUUAAGUAAGAUGAAAUUUGGGGUACGCAGGAUAAAUCAGACUCCUAAAGGGAUACAGUAGUCUGGAAAGGCUGAGAGUCACUAGUUUAAGAUAUUUUCUUACACUUACAUCUUUAAAAGUGUAGUAAAACUAUAUCACAAUGUUGUAAUAUGUACUGGUUUAUUAAAGCAAUUUUCAGAUGCAAAUUAGAUAAAGUGUGUUCAUUAGUAUGAAGUUUUAAUUAUUAAAGCAGUAGGAGUUAAAAUACAUCUGGCUUCUUUGUCACAGUAGCCCCACAAAAUUGAUUCUUUGAGGUUCCAAUGUGUGGAAUUUGGGCCUCCACCUUUCUCCCU